GUGGCAUACGGUGGAUGCCUUGGCACCAGGCGCCGAUGAAGGACGUGGGAGACUGCGAUAGUCCACGGGGAGUUGUCAACCGAGCUUUGAUCCGUGGGUGUCCGAAUGGGGAAACCUAGCCCGAGUUGUGUCGGGUUGCUGCUGUCUGAAUGUAUAGGACAGUUGGUGGUGACGCGGGGAAGUGAAACAUCUCAGUACCCGCAGGAAGAGUAGACAACAGUGAUUUCCUCAGUAGUGGUGAGCGAACGGGAAAGAGGCUAAACCGCACGCGUGUGAGAGACGGCAGUCGUUGCGUGUGCGGGGUUGUGGGGUGCAUCUGUCCGGGUCUGUCGGCCCGGAGCGUUGGUGGUUCUUUUAGCUGAAGCCGUUGGGAAGCGGUACCGGAGUGGGUGAGAGUCCCGUAGGUGAAGGAAGAGCCCAGACGUUGGUGUAUACCCGAGUAGCGCGGAGCUCGAGGAAUUCCGUGUGAAUCUGGCAGGACCACCUGUCAAGCCAAAAUACGUCCUGGUGACCGAUAGUGCACUAGUACCGUGAGGGAAAGGUGAAAAGUGCCCCGGUGAGGGGUCGUGAAAUAGUACCUGAAACCGUGUGCUGUCAAGCCGUCAGAGCUGGUCCUUGUGGCUGGUGAUGGCGUGCCUUUUGAAGAAUGAGCCUGCGAGUCAUGGUGUGUGGCGAGGUUAACCCGUGUGGGGUAGCCGUAGGGAAACCGAGUCUGAAGAGGGCGUUGGAGUCGCAUGCUGUGGACCCGAAGCGGAGUGAUCUACCCAUGUCCAGGGUGAAGCGGGGGUAAGACCUCGUGGAGGCCCGAACCCACCAGGGUUGAAAACCUGGGGGAUGAGGUGUGGGUAGGGGUGAAAGGCCAAUCAAACUCCGUGAUAGCUGGUUCUCCCCGAAAUGCAUUUAGGUGCAGCGUCGCGUGUUUCUUGCUGGAGGUAGAGCUACUGUUUGGCUGAUGGGCCCGACCAGGUUACUGACGUCAGACAAACUCCGAAUGCCGGUGAAGUGAAGCGUGGCAGUGAGACUGCGGGGGAUAAGCUUCGUAUGUCGAGAGGGAAACAGCCCAGAUCAUCAGCUAAGGCCCCUAAGCGUGUGCUAAGUGGUAAAGGUUGUGGAGUUGCCCAGACAACCAGGAGGUUGGCUUAGAAGCAGCCAUCCUUUAAAGAGUGCGUAAUAGCUCACUGGUCAAGUGGUUCUGCGCCGAUAAUGUAGCGGGGCUGAAGUACACCGCCGAAGCUGUGGAGCCCAACUUUGUUGGGUUGGUAGGGGAGCGUCGUGCAUCCGGUGAAGCCGCCGAGUGAUCGAGUGGUGGAGGGUGUGCGAGUGAGAAUGCAGGCAUGAGUAGCGAGAGCAGCGUGAGAAACGUUGCCGCCGAUUGACUAAGGGUUCCUGGGGCAGGUUAAUCCGCCCAGGGUGAGUCUGGACCUAAGGCGAGGCCGACAGGCGUAGUCGAUGGAGAACGGGUUGAUAUUCCCGUACCCGUGCACGAGCGUNUCUGGUUCUGUGCUGGUCUGGGAACCGAUCUUGUAGUAGGCAAGUGAUGGGGUGACGCAGGAGGGUAGCUCUACCCGGCGAUGGUUGUCCGGGGGUAAGCGUGUAGGCCGGUGUGUUGGUAAAUCCGCAUGCUGUGUGGCUGAGACGUGAUGCCGAGCCGUUUUUGGUGAAGUGAGUGAUCCCAUGCUGCCGAGAAAAGCCUCUAGCGAGUUCGUGUGUGGCCAGUACCCUAAACCGACGCAGGUGGUCAGGUAGAGAAUACCGAGGCGUUCGGGUGAACCAUGGUUAAGGAACUCGGCAAAUUGUCCCCGUAACUUUGGGAGAAGGGGAGCCCUGUCUGGUGAAGGCCUGUGCGGCUGGAGCUGGGUGGGGUCGCAGAUAGCGGGGGGAAGCGACUGUUUAUUAAAAACACAGGUCCGUGCGAAGUCGUAAGACGCUGUAUACGGACUGACGCCUGCCCGGUGCUGGAACGUUAAGAGGACUGGUUAGUGGGGUUCGCCCUGCGAAGCUGGGAAUCUAAGCGCCAGUAAACGGCGGUGGUAACUAUAACCAUCCUAAGGUAGCGAAAUUCCUUGUCGGGUAAGUUCCGACCUGCACGAAUGGCGUAACGACUUCCCCACUGUCUCAACCAUGGACCCGGUGAAAUUGCACUACGAGUAAAGAUGCUCGUUUCGCGCAGCAGGACGGAAAGACCCCGGGACCUUCACUAUAGCUUGACAUUGGUGUUUGGGAUGGUUUGUGUAGGAUAGGUGGGAGCUGUUGAUAUCGCCACGCCAGUGGUGAUGGAGGCGUUGGUGAAAUACCACUCUGACUGUUUCGGGCAUCUAACCUUGGGCCGUGAUCCGGUUCGGGGACAGUGUCUGGUGGGUAGUUUAACUGGGGCGGUUGCCUCCUAAAGAGUAACGGAGGCGCCCAAAGGUUCCCUCAGCUUGGUUGGUAACCAGGUGUUGAGUGUAAGUGCACAAGGGAGCUUGACUGUGAGACGGACGUGUCGAGCAGGAGCGAAAGCUGGGACUAGUGAUCCGGCACCGGCGUGUGGAAGCGGUGUCGCUCAACGGCUAAAAGGUACCCCGGGGAUAACAGGCUGAUCUUCCCCAAGAGUCCGUAUCGACGGGAUGGUUUGGCACCUCGAUGUCGGCUCGUCGCAUCCUGGGGCUGGAGUUGGUCCCAAGGGUUGGGCUGUUCGCCCAUUAAAGCGGCACGCGAGCUGGGUUUAGAACGUCGUGAGACAGUUCGGUCCCUAUCCGCUGCGCGCGUUGGAGACUUGAGAAGGGCUGUCCCUAGUACGAGAGGACCGGGACGGACGUACCUCUGGUGUGCCAGUUGUUCUGCCAAGGGCAUGGCUGGUUUGCUACGUGCGGGAGAGAUAACCGCUGAAAGCAUCUAAGCGGGAAGCUUGCUUCGAGAUGAGGUCUCCUGCCUCCUUGA
rnacentral:rRNA from 1 species